rnacentral:tRNA from 3 species
GCCGCCGUAGCUCAGUGGUAGAGCGCGUCAUUGGUAAUGACGAGGUCCUCAGUUCAAUCCUGAGCGGCGGCACCA